rnacentral:rRNA from 1 species
CAAGGAAUUUUCGGCAAUGGGCGCAAGCCUGACCGAGCAACGCCGCGUGGAGGACGACGGCCUUCGGGUUGUAAACUCCUUUUCGGGGGGACGAUACAGACGGUACCCCCGGAAUAAGGCUCGGCUAACUCUGUGCCAGCAGCCGCGGUAAGACAGAGGAGCCAAGCGUUGUCCGGAUUGACUGGGCGUAAAGGGCACGCAGGUGGUUUGGCAAGUGUUGUGUGAAAGCGGAGAGCUUAACUCUCUGAGGCCAUGGCAAACUGCCUAACUUGAGCCAUGCAGGGGUUCGUGGAAUUGCCGGUGUAGUGGUGAAAUGCGUAGAGAUCGGCAGGAACACCCAUAGGGAAACCAGCGAACUGGGCAUGUGCUGACACUGAGGUGCGAAAGCGUGGGGAGCGAACUGG